rnacentral:rRNA from 1 species
GACGAACGCUGGCGGCGUGCUUAACACAUGCAAGUCGAACGGAAAGGCCCUGCUUUUGUGGGGUGCUCGAGUGGCGAACGGGUGAGUAACACGUGAGUAACCUCCCCUUGACUUUGGGAUAACUUCAGGAAACUGGGGCUAAUACCGGAUAGGAGCUCCUGCUGCAUGGUGGGGGUUGGAAAGUUUCGGCGGUUGGGGAUGGACUCGCGGCUUAUCAGCUUGUUGGUGGGGUAGUGGCUUACCAAGGCUUUGACGGGUAGCCGGCCUGGGAGGGUGACCGGCCACAUUGGGACUGAGAGACGGCGCAGACGGCUACGGGAGGCAGCAGUGGGGAAUAUUGCACAAUGGGCGGAAGCCUGAUGCAGAAACGCCGCGUGCGGGAUGACGGCCUUCGCGUUGUAAACCGCUUUCGCCUGUUACGAAGCGUGAGUGACGGUAAUGGGUAAAGAAGCACCGGCUAACUACGUG